rnacentral:lncRNA from 10 species
GAAAAAGGAACUUCAAGCCUGGAAUUAUUCUGUUUAGCCACUUCUGUUGCUUACCAAAGGCUUUGCCAAUGAUAAUACUGAUAAAGGGCAACAUAAACACAUCUAUGUGUGAGUUGCCAUCUGAAACUGAAGUUAAACACACUUGGUGCUGACCAAUAAACUGUAGUGCUUUUUCAGAAGAAAAGAGAAUAUUCCUUUUCUCUUGGAGCCAUGGAAAACAGGCAAUAGUAUGAGUGUUCACUUCCACCUUCCACCCUUUCACUAUGAAGGACCCUCACCAGAUGGUGGCACCAUGCUCUCGGACUUCCCAGCCUCCAGAACUGGACGGGUAAAUUGAAGCAAAAAGCAGACAAGUUCUAUGGGAUUUGCUGGCAUUGAUUUCCCAGGAUGGCAAAGUGCUAAGAACUAAACCUUUAAAGCUAACAAAAUGUACUGAUGUCUUUGCAAAGUAUCCAAGACCAACAAGAAAGUAAUUUCCCACCUCACCCUACCACCACCCAGAAAAGGAGCACAGAGAUGGGGAAGAGAGUGGCUGCAUCUGGCAUCCAGCCAGAGGAGUCCGUGCAGGGAUUCUGGAUCCCUCUUCCCCCACCCCACUGCCCUUCCCCCUCCACCCCAGCGUUUUGGAGAAGCAAGAAACUGUGAUGAUGCAGCUCCCUCAAGUAUCACAUGAAGAUAGUGGAAAGAGCCUCCUGAGGUAAAUAUGCCAUGUAGACAGAAACAAGCAAUGGCUCAACAGCAAUGUAUGAGGUCCAAGGACCAGGACCAAAGGGAAAAACAGCCAUCUCACCAGACACCUGCCUACGACCAGAUGCGUCAUCUCCAAUAUUAGCUAACUCCCUGGAACCUGGACUCAAGGUGUGAAAUAAAGGUUAAUGGGAAACCGCAGGAGUCAAAAGGAGGGGGCAGGAUUAUUGAGGAUUCAGGCUGUUGAGAAAUGAAAGUUUGGAUCACUCCCCAGAUAAAGAACCUUGACCAUUUAAGGGCAAUGGAAAUACAGAAUAGGCAGUAGAAGAAGGAAGCCAUAGAUACCAACUAUGGCCUCUCAAUCAAUUACAAAACUGAGAAUUCUGACAGUUUUGUGUAUUUCCUCUUUGCAUGUGAUGUAUAUGUGUGUAUUUGUAUAUAUUAACCAUUUUCCUUUUUCUCUCUUCAUUAUUUUAUGAAAGUUGUUGAAUAUAAACUCUACAAUUUAGCCUUUAGGUAAGAGAAUAUUCAGUGGGACUUUGAUUUGAGGAGUAUUUAAGACAGCCAGAUGAGACUACGAUAACUGUUGGAACUGUGUGUCUCCUCAUUUGGGGAAAGGGGUGAGAACUCUGCAUUUCUCUGAAGAACAGAGUUGACUUUGUGUUAUACAGAGUUCAAAUAUAUAUAUAAAAUGGUGCAUGUGGAAGCUAAGAAGCCAAAGGAGUUCACCAAGACAGUUAUCAAUAUAUUGCCUCUCCGCUCCAAAUCCACCCUUCUUUGCCCUGUUCCACGAUACUAAUCUGGCUCCUCGGUCAGCCAGUGCAAUGUCAUCUGUUGCUGGUAGAGUGUAGGGGAGACACUACAAGGUAUAGUAAAGGGGUCAGAUGCGGUGUCUCAUGCCUGUAAUCACAGCCCUUUGGGAGGCAGAGGCAGGAGGAUCACCUGAGGCCAGGAGUUUGAGACCAGCCUGGACAACAUGGUAAAACCCCAUCUCUACUGAAAAUACAAAAUUAGCACGCACCUGUAAUCCCAGCUACUCGGGAGGCUGAGGCAGGAGAAUCACUUGAACCUGGGAGGUGGAGGUUGCAGUGAGCCAAGAUCGCAUCAUUGCACUCCAGCCAGGGAAAAAAGGCAAAACUCUGUCUCAAAAAAAUAAAUAAAUAAAAUAAAAUAAAACAAGGUAUAGCAAAUAAAGGAGCAUUCCUUCUUGAUUCUUCCUGGUUCUUGUUACCUGUGGCCGCCACCAGUGGUGUAUGGGAGAGUCACCCUACAGUGAGUUCCACCAGCACCUAGUGAGGGCUUCCUACUGAGUUUUAUUGUCACCCGAGCAGGCAAUUUCCUUGCCAGCAGUAUGCAGGAGACCCAAUGGUGACCACCUUCCAGUGGGUUUUUCCAGCACCCUAGAAGGCACUUUUUUGACCACAGUGCUGAUCCACUGGCACCCAACAGCCAGUACCCUACUCACCAGGCCUGGCCUGUGGCACCUCAAAGAACUUUUCUAUCCUGCGGGCCACAGCACCACCCUCUCCAACAAGGUCUGAAUCUCAGCCUUCAGGUGUGAAAGACCCUUCCAUGUUUGUUCUUUUCUUGGGUAUCCUCCCUCAGUCCUAGAAGUAGCAGCUCUUCCCUAUGUUUGCUAUUUCUGUGUUAUUUAGCAUACAAUUUACCCCUUUUGUAGUUUAUCACAUUUUGCCAGUUAAUAAUUCUUUAUAGUAAAUGUUCCCUCUUCAAAUUACUAUCUCUCACCAAACACUGACUUCUAUAUCCUCAUCAGACACUGAGUGACACAACCUCCUUCAGAAAAGAAUCCCUUUCACCCUGCCCUUCAUGAUGAACACUCUCAACAAAUUAGGUAUAGCAGGAACAUACCUUGACAUAAUAAAGGCCAUAUAUGACGAGCCCACAGCUAACAUCAUACUGAAUGGGGAAUAACUGAAAGCCUUUCCUCUAAGAACUAGAAUAAGACAAGGACACCUACUCUAAGCACUCUUAUUCGGCAUUAUACUGGAAGUCCUAGCCAGACUUUCUCUUUCCGGAAAGAGAAAGAAAUGAAAGGCAUCCAAACUGGAAAACAGGAUGCCAGCCAGUUGUGGUGGCUCAAGCCUGUAAUCCCAGCACUUCGGGAGGCUGAGGUGGGCAGAUUGCUUGAACCCAGGAGUUCAAAUCCAGACUAGACAACAUGAUGAAACCCUGUCUCUAUGAAAAAUACAAAAAUUAGCCAGGUGUGGUGGCACACACCUGUAGUCCCAACUACUCAGGAGGCUGAGGUGGGAGGAUCACUUGAGCCUGGGAAAUAGAGGAUGCAGUGAGUCAAGAUCACACCAGAGCACUCCAGCCUGGAUGACAGAGAGAGAUUCCAAUUCAAAAAAAAAAAAAAGGAAGAAGCCAAAUUGUCUCUACUUCAGAUGACAUGAUUUUACAAAUUCAGUAAUGUUACAAGACACAAAAUCAAUAUAAAAAAUCGGUUGUGUUUUUAUACACCAAUAACCAACUAUCUGAAAAAGAAACCAAGAAAGCAACCUCAUUUAUAACUUCAAAAAAGUCUCAGGGAUAAAUUUAGCCAAGGAGGUGAAAGAUUUCUAUGAAAGCCAAAACAAAACAAAACAAAAAACACUACACCCUGAUGAACAAAAUUGAAGAGGAUACCAAAAAUAGAAAGACAUAUUAUGCUCAUGAAUUGGAACAAUUAAUAUUGUUAAAAAUGACUAUACUACCCAAGGUAAGCUAUAGAUUUAAUGCAAUUCCUAUCAAGAUACUAAUGACAUUCUUUGAAUCAAUAGAAAAAACAAUCCUAGAAUUCACAUAGAACCAUAGAAGAGCCCAAAUAGCAGCAAUACUCAGCAAAAAGAACAAAGCUGAAGGCAAUCACACUAACACAUUUCAGAAUAUACUACAAAGCUAUAGCAACCAAAACACUAUGCUAUUGGUAUAAAAACAGAUACACAGACCAGUGGAACAGAACAGAGAAUCCAGAAAUAAAUUCACAUAUUUACAGCCAGCCAAUUUUUGACAAAGUUGCCAGGAACAUACACUGAGGAAAGGACAUUCUUUUCAAUAAAUUGUGCUAAGAAAACUGGAUAUUCACAUGCAGAAGAAUGAAACUAGACCUCUAUCUCUCACAAUGUAUAAAAAUCAAUUCAAAAUGGAUUAAAGACUUAAAUACAAGACCUGAAACUAUAAAACUACUAAAAGAAAACAUAGAGGAAAUGCUUCAAGAUAUUGAUCUAGGCAAAGAUUUUAUGGCUAAGAUCUCAAAAGCAGGGGCAACCAAAACAAAAAUAGACAAAUGGAACGACAUUAAACUAAAAAGCUUCUGCGCAGGAAAGGAAACAAUCAACAGAGUGAAGAGAUAACAUGAACAAUGGAGAAAAAAUUGCUAACUAUUCAUCCAACAAGGGACUAAUAUCCAGAAUAUACAUAGAACUCAAAACAAUUCGACAGCAAAGAAUCAAAUAAUCUCACUAAAAAGUGAGCAAAGGACAUGAAUAGACAUUUCUAAAAAGACAAAUGGCUAACAGGUUUAGGAAAAACUGCUCAACAUCACGGAUCAUCAGGAAAAUACAGAUCAAAACCACAAUGAGAUACCAUCUCACCCCAGUUAGAAUGGUUAUUAUCAAAGUCAAAAAAUAACACAUGCUGGUGAUUAUGUGGAGAAAAGGGAACUCUUUAUGCAUUGUUGGGAAUGUAGAUUAGUACAACGACUAUGGAAAACAGUAUGAAAGUGUCUUUAAAAACUAAAAAUAGAACUACCAUCUGACCCAGCAAUCCCACUACUGUCUCUCUGUCCAAAGGAAAGGAAAUCAAUAAAUCAAAGGGACAACUGUACCCCCAUAUUUAUUGCUGCUCUAUUCACAACAGCCAAGGUAUGAAAUCAACCUAAGUGUCCAUCAACAGAUGAAUGAAUAAAGAAAAUAUGGUAUAUAUACACAACAAAAUACUAUUCAGCCAUUAAAAAUGAAAUCUCAUCAUAUGCGGCAACAGGGAUGGAAUUGCAAGUCAUUAUGUUUAGUGAAAUAAACCAGGCACAGAAAAACAAGUAUCACAUGUUCCCACUCAUAUGUGGGAGCUAAAAAGUUGACCUCAUGGAGGUAGGGAAUAGAAUGAUAGAUACCAGAGGCUGGGAAAGGGCUGGGGGGAUGAGGACAGAUUGGUUAAUGGGUACAAACAUACAGUUAUGUGGAAGAAAUAAGUUCUAGUGUUUAAUAGCACAAUAGAGUGUCUAUAGUUAACAAAAAAUAUAUUGCAUAUUUCAAAAUAGCUGAAAGAGAAGUUCUGAAAUGUUCCAAACACAAAGAAAUAAAUGCUUGAGGUAAUGGAUUUUCUAAAUAUGCUGAUUUGAUCAUUAUAUACUGUAUGCAUGUAUCAAACUAUCACAUGUACCUGAUACAUAGCAAUAUUAUGUAUUAAUAAAAAUUAAUAAAUAAUAAGUAAUAAACUUUAAAAAUAAUGUCCUUUAGAAAAGUUCUAAUUUUUUCCACAAAAAUUGAUAGUGUUAAAAAAUUAUAGCACCUCAAAAAAGACCUUUCACAAAAUAGAUGCUCAAAAAAUUCAUUGAAUUUUUGCCAAAUAAUUAUAAUUGUAAAAUUUUCCUUUUUACAAGGCUGUGAAGAAAUUGGAAUCCUCAUGCCAUACUUACUGGUGAGAUUGUAAGAUGAUGCAGUCACUUUGCAAACAGUCUGGGAAUUCCUCAAAAUAUUAAACAUAGAGUCACCCUAUGACCCAGUAAUUCUAUUUCUAGAUAUGUACCCAAAAGAAAUGGAAACAUAAUGCCACACUAAAACUUGUUCACAAAUGUUCAUGGCAGCAUUGUUCAUAGUAGCCAAAAAGUGAAAACCAUCCAAAUAUUCAUCAAGUGAUGAAUGGAUAAAUAAAGAUGUGGAAUACACAUACAAUGGAAUAUUACUCAGCUAUAAAAGGGAAAGACACUUACAAAUGCUACAUGAUAAAUGUGAAAGCAUUAUACUAAGUGAAAGAAGCCAGAGCCAGUCACAAAAUACCACAUAUCGUAUGAUGCCAUUUAUAGGAAAUGUCUAGAAUAGACAAGUCUAUGAGGACAGAAAGUUGUUUAGUGGUUGCCUAGGACUGAGGGUACAGGGUGGCAAGAGGGAGCUGCCAGGAAUGCAACAUGCUAAUGAAUAUGAAGUUUCUUUUGGGGUUCUAACAUGUUCUAGAAUUAGAUGGUGGUGAUGUUUGCACAACUCUGUGGUUAUACUAAAUAAAUGAACUGUACACUUUAAAUAUAUCUAAAUGUAUGUAAAUUAUAUCAUAAUGUCUGGGUUUUAUUAAUUGCCUUUUAAAUGUGGCUUUAGUUCUGUCUGUAUACUUCAUGAAAUGUAUCAAAGUAAUGCUAAAAUAAAACCAAUAAUUAAACCCAAUGAAUCACAA